AAACCAUGACGUGGACAGAUUCUCAUCAUGUCCUUGUAUCUCUCUCAUGCUUUGAAAAGUGACUCAUCGUCCUUCUGCCUAAAAAAAAUUUAUUUGGCUCCUUAGCAU